AUACGGAGGGGGCUAGCGUUGUUCGGAAUUACUGGGCGUAAAGCGCACGUAGGCGGUGUAUCUAGUCAGAGGUGAAAGGCCUGGGCUCAACCUGGGAACUGCCUUUGAUACUGGUACGCUUGAGAGCGGGAGAGGGUAGUGGAAUUCCCAGUGUAGAGGUGAAAUUCGUAGAUAUUGGGAAGAACACCAGUUGCGAAGGCGGCUACCUGGCCCGGUACUGACGCUGAGGUGCGAAAGCGUGGGGAGCAAACAGGAUUAGAAACCCCGGUAGUCC
rnacentral:rRNA from 1 species